UGAAACCAUGUCAUCCUUCUGCAAUAGUUUAGACAUUCACCACCAAGUUUCUGAAGAAUAUAGAGUAAUAAUAUUCAAUGGUCGCUUUACCUGCUUUGGCCACUUUACCCUGCUCUCUCCUACAUCAUAACAACAUACACCUUUAUUAAUGUGAUUGAUGAGAAACUUCAUUAAAAACAGAAAAUAAAAUUGCACUAGAACCCUUAUAUCCAUAGAGGAUAGAUUCUAAGCCCACACACACAGAUAGUAGCAAACACUAUGUAUUGCAUAUACUUAUGAUAAAAUUUAAUUUAUAAAUUAGGCACAAUAAGACAUUAAUAACAAUAACUAAAAAUAGAAC
rnacentral:lncRNA from 1 species